CUUUUCUUGAUUUUUUAGGAAAUAUAACCUGCCCACUGAUAAUUUAAAGGGCCGCGGUAAUAUGACCGUGCAAAGGUAGCAUAAUCAUUAGUUUCUUAAUUAGGAACUGGAAUGAAUGGUUGGACGAGAUAUAGGCUGUCUUUAUUUUAUUUAUUGAAUUUAAUUUUUAGGUAAAAAAGCCUAAAUGUGUUUAUGGGACGAGAAGACCCUAUAGAAUUUUAUAAUUUAAUUAUUUUGUUGUGUAUGAUAUUUAAAUUUUAGUUAAAUUAUUUUGUUGGGGUGAUAGUAAGAUAAAAUAAACUCUUUUUAGUGAAGUAUAUUGAUAUAUAUAUAUAUUUGAUCCAUUAAUGAUGAUUAGAAGAUUAAAUUACCUUAGGGAUAACAGCGUAAUCUUUUUUGAGAGUUCAUAUCGACAGGAAGGGUUGCGA
rnacentral:rRNA from 1 species